rnacentral:rRNA from 1 species
GACGAACGCUGGCGGCGUGCCUAAUACAUGCAAGUAGAACGCUGAAGGAGGAGCUUGCUUCUCUGGAUGAUUUGCGAACGGGUGAGUAACGCGUAGGUAACCUGCCUGUUAGCGGGGGAUAACUCUUGGAAACGAUAGCUAAUACCGCAUAACAGUAGAUGUCGCAUGAUAUCUACUUGAAAGGUGCAAUUGCAUCACUACCAGAUGGACCUGCGUUGUAUUAGCUAGUUGGUGAGGUAACGGCUCACCAAGGCGACGAUACAUAGCCGACCUGGGAGGGGGAUCGGCCACACUGGGACUGGGACACGGCCCAGAACCCUAAGGGGGGGAACAGUAGGGGAUCUUCGGCAAAUGGCGGAAGGCUGACCGGGGCACGCCGCGGGAGUGAAGAAGGGUUUCGGGACGUAAAGCCUCGUUGUUAGAGGAGAAAGAGUGUGGGAGGGAAAAGUUCACAUUGUGACGGUAUCUUAUCAGAAAGCGACGGCUAACUACGUG